rnacentral:miRNA from 1 species
UGUGUUAGUGCGGAUGGUGUUA